rnacentral:lncRNA from 1 species
UAAUUCAUCUAGAAUUCUCUACAGCUUAGUCCUCCAACUAGCUUUCUUUCACCAUUAAUUUGUUCAAUCAUCUGUGAAUCUGCUAUUACUGGCGAGUUCUAGCAGAAUUCUUCUACCAUUACUCCAUUAUUAUUGACCUUUCUCUCCAAUUUUUCCUGAUCCUUCGUAUUCUAUUUAGGGAUUUCCUAUUGCCUUUGAUUUGUUUGGUCCUAUCGUCUUCUAAUCUUUGCUUUGGCAUAAUAGUAUCCCAAUGGUUAGCAUCUUCCAUAGUUGAAACAAAAGGUGAAUAGACGAGGUACAAUUUUCUAUGAUUCCUUGUAAGUUUAAUUUUGUCAAAAUUUUCCACUAUUUAUGCUUAGACUCAUAGGAAGGGAAUUGUUCAAGAAUUUUGGACUACUUUUUUUACAUCAAGGAAAUGAUCCUUGAGAUUCGACUCAAUGUGCUAGAAUUGAUAAGGCAUUGUGCUCUUGACAUAGGUGGUUUAACGAAUUACGAAGCAAUCAGCUUUCGAAUACAACUAUGUGUUUUACAAUUUGGGAUAAAAUAGCGCGCUACUGCUUGAUUAGUAUCUGUGUUUCUCUUUUGAUUUUCUUCCGAACCUCCCGUUGAAUGAGGUUUAAAGUUGAUCCAUGCUCCGAAUGGCAGUUUCUUAUUUUUACUUCCUUUAUUUUAUUAUUUUAACUACGAAAAUGUUUUUAGAUGUUGCAUAAUGUGCUUAAUUGGUUUUCAAUGUGUAACCACUACAGAGUAUGGGACUUUUAAGAUCAUAAACACGAUAAGUUUGUGAUUAGUUCUUGAAUCUUUAUAGUUUAACCGAAAAAGAUGGAGGAGAAAGCAUUAUUCCCAUCAACUUGUACGUUUGAUGUACUAACAUACAUUAGCUAUUAUCGGCAAAAGCACAUGAAGAGGGUAUGAAAAAGGUUGCGAGCUUGCAAACGUGCACGAUAUGAUUGUUUUGUGUAAAACUUCAUUGUGGCUAACGAAAGUAUAUAAGCUUAAAAGGCAUCGACUUUUUGGUAUAUAUAGAAGGAAAAUUGAUAGAACAUCAUGAGUGUAGAACUCUGUUAGGUUUCAUGAUUUUAAUAUUUUGUUUCCUAUUUUGUAUAUUUCAGGAUUUUAAUGUUCCGUUUCAAGGACCCAAUUGAUACUUAGCUUUCAAAUAUCACACCCAUCUUGGAGGUGCGAAAUAAAUAAAAAAAAAAAAUUGCUAAGGAGAUGCUUGGAGAGGAUGAAAAAAAACUACAUUAGUUUCAAUUUACAUGUCCUGGUGGCACUAAAGAGGUAGUUGCAGAUGAUGAAAGGAAAGCUGCUAAGAUGUCAUUCCACAUUUUCUGGUUGUUUUAAAAAUAUGUUUUCACUUUCAAUGCAUCACCAUCUACUUAUCUGAAAGUUGUUUAUGCAUUAUAUUUUUCCUUUUUGGAUCAAUUUGGGAGUAGAAAGUAUGAAAAAUAAAAAGUUGAAAGAUCUGGGUACUUCAAGAAAUGCAAAUAAUCAUAGUUUAUAGUUAGAACCUGA